UAGAGCUGCCGAUGAGCACAAACCAGCAGCUAUCAUCAAAAGACAAAAAGACUUGCCCAUCUACACAUGUUUUUAUCAACAUAUACUAGCGGGGUGGCUAUACCUCCAAACCCAGGAAUCACUCCAAGUGACAAUUCUGGC